UUUAGAUUUAGGCCAAAUAUAAUGGUAAUUUUAAAUUAUUCUAAAUGCCAGUGAUAUUUCAAAUCAUAUGAGCUUAGAUCACAUUUAAACAAAACAGAAUCGGAUAAAAUAACAAUGUUAUCUUCAUUGUAAAAACCUAACUCAUGUCUAUCCAUUUCAAUUUAAUACUACUGUUGAAUUGAACUUGCAACUCACGUGACAAAGGCAGUAUAGGGCAUUUUUCAAUUAGAAUUUCAUGUUAACCGUUCUACUCAAGGUCAAGAUCAAUUCAUUUUGAACUGAACCCUGAUAUAUUAUAACCCUUUUUAUGGUGAGGAGCUCUGAUUCUGACCUCUGCUGUAGUGGUGUGUCUGUACUCUCCACAUAAUAUGUCUGCUUCCUGAAGGGCCAUGAGAAGUAGUCCUGACUCGUUGCAAUCUGGGUGUCGCCCCGUUUAUGAAGGUUGUCCAUUCUGAGGUCUGAUAUCGGAUAGGGUCCAUUUUGUAUUGCAAGCUCCCAAGCUUUCUCUCCCUUCCUCCCUCUCUCUCCUUCUCUCUUUCUCUCAGAUUCCGGUGAGACACCGUGAGGUCCAUUGAAUGUGGCCACCUGUGUCUUAUUGAACCUUGUCAUGAAGAGAGGAGGAGAGGAGAGAGUCCUCGGAGUGAGCUAGCGGAGGAGCCUCCAGUCGGUCCGGUGUUGCUGUGCUGUUCUAACGAGGGAGAGAGAAAAAGCCAGCGAUGAAAGGAACUGGGUGGCUGCGUUAGGAAAAGUACCCCUCACAGACUCACUCCGCAGACAAGACGGGAACCCUGCAGCAGCAGCCAUGUUGGGUAGUUUUGUCUGAGCUAACCUAACAGCAUAAAUGUCCUCCACAAACCAACAGAAGGUUACACAGUAAAAGCAGCAAAAUGAGAGUUUUCCCCACCUUUCCGUUCUGCUAGGCAUGCAGUCCCCUGCUCUCCUCCUUUACUUCUCAUGUGGCAUUAAAGACACAAGGCAUCAAAAUAAGUCCUCAAGAGGAGACAGAGAUUUUACACUUUUCCUUUUUCUGGCUUUCUCUCUUUUUAGACCUUCUGAUACUUCGGGGAGAGAGAGGGGGAGACGCGUGAGCCCAGCCUUUGCCGUUUUUUGUAACCAGAGCCAAAAGAGGCAGGAAGUUGUUUUACAAUAGCCUUACAGUAAUCUGCCACAAGUGGAAAAAGCCAAAUGCUGGUCGCAGAGUGGAGAAGGUGGCGGGAAAGAGAGAGAGAGAAGCGGGGAGAGAGGAAGGGAGAGAAGGAGCAUAAAAAAAACUGAGAUAGGCAGACACGUGAAUCAAAAGAAUAAUCAGUAUGAACUAAGAUGGAGGACUAGUCUGCCAUGUUGUUUUGUAGUCCUGUAGUACAUAAUUGUGUGUGUGUGUGUGUGUGUGUGUGUGUGUGUGUGUGUGUGUGUGUGUGUGUGUGUGUGUGUGUGUGUGUGUGUGUGUGUGUGUGUGUGUGUGUGUGUGUGUGCGCGCAAACAGGAGGGUUUAGGGAGGGUGGAGCGCGUCACGAUGCAGGACUCUAGACGAUUCUAGGGUAAGGGAUACAUUAGACCCAAAUACACUCAACAAUCCUUUCCUUUUGGUUUUAAAUAUGAUAUGUUUUUAGUCAGUACAGCUGUAGUUCCUGGGUUAUUUGGAUAAGCUAUCCUCUGCCUUUAUAUCCAGGACAAAUCAGAACCACUCGUGUUUUCUGUGAAUUCCCAAUCACAUUGUAAUCACGGCAGCUGUUUUUCUUCCAGAACAGAAUGGUUAUCAGGCUUUUGACUCCUUGCCAAAAUAGCUGUAAGGGUCGUGCAAUGUUUAGCCCCUCAGAGUGAUCGAGUCAGGGCAGGAGGAGGAGGGUCUUGCUGUACUCUAACUCUACAAACCCUGCUCCUACCCUGCCACGUGCUACACUACAGUACGCAAGUAUACGCAACUAGCUUAUGUUUUUUGUCUUCUCCAUGCUGCUUCCACGCUAGCUGCUGUGGCAUGCUAAAGAGUUAAUACUCUGUCUUUGAGUUGUGGCUGGCUGCAGAAUGUGAUCUAGAAAGGCUGUUGCAGCUUGAUGACAGAGAGAGCGCUACAGUACUGUAAUGUACUGUACCAGAUAAGGUUAAUCAUUUAACCUGCUAUCAGAACUGUUGCAUAUUUCAAGUUCCUUAUCCACUCUGUGUUUGUCUGUUGAUCUCUUUUCUCUCGCUUUUCUCCCUCUCUUUUCUCUCUCUUUCUCUUUUCUCCCUCUCUUUCCUCUCUCUUUUCUCUCUCCUCUCUUUUCUCUCUUUUCUCUAUCUCUUUGUCUCUCUCUCGUUUAUCUCUCUCUCCUUCUCUCUCUAUUUUCUCUCUUAUUUCUGCUCUUCUCUGUUGAUUGCCGGGGUGUAGCGUGUGCUAGUAUGGCGUGAGUGUGUGCACUGCGUCUGCGCACUGCUGGAGGAGUGGAUUUCUGUGUCAUUCUUCCUCCUCUACCCCCUCCCACCCGUGCCUGCUUUCCGCCCUCCCACUCUCUCUCCCCUCUCUCUCUCUCUUUCCUUCUCGGCCUCCAUCUCCCUUCCUUCAUUCUCUCUCUCUCCCUCUCAAGUGCAAAUACAGUUCCUUGCCGUGUUGGACGUGUGAUCAAGAAGUGUCUGGCUUUCGCGCUCCGCCGCACCUCCUAUUUCAUCAUCACUUGAGCUUUUCUCUCCUUCACUCUGCGCUUGCUAUCUCCUCUCCUCUCCUCUCCUCUCCUCUCCUC
ensembl:lncRNA